GCUUCUUCUUCAGAUGCUUUUCUCCAAAGCCAUGUCACUGAAUUGUUAUCAGUGUUUGCUGUCACUAACUGGCGCGUGUACCAAUGAACAGAUAACCUGUUCAGAUCAGUGUGCCUCUUCAACUAUGUCUGUUUACACGGACUGAAUGAAGAUCAUGAGCUGGUGGCGAGCUGAUGAUGAGAAGCUGAGAAGAUGAGCUGGUGGUUACAGACAUGACGAAUGUGGAAAACGAACGUGACUGGACAAGCUGUCAAUCGGACUGUAUCAUACGGCAGCCGAGAAGUGCAAAACACCAUAACAAAUCGGAAAACAAAUUAACAAAUUAACAAAUUGGAAAACUAUCAAAUACAGUAUCUUGAAUGACAGGUCUCUUGUACAAUGAUUGGUAAGUUUCCAUUCACAAACUAUAUCUCCCUCUUCCGGGUUGUCUGAAUCGUUGCACGGAACACAUUAACAAAUCCGAAAACAUCCGUUUGUGAUUGGAACAUUUACAGAUUAUUGGACAAGACGUCUUGUCUGUCGGAUUUGUUAUUGUGUUUUUGGAUUUGUUGAUGUGGUUUUUGAUUUGUUAAUUUGUUUUCGGAUUUGUUAUUGUGUUUUGCACUUCUCGGCCACCGUAGUAUCAUCAUCAAAAAUGUAGAAACAUUCGUUCACAGUGUGAAAAGUUUUUUUUCCAUAACCUAUCUUUAAAUGAGAGGAGAGAGAUAGAAGAAGUGUUGACAGGUGAGAGAAGGAAGAGAGAAUUAUUGGUUAGGUUUCUUUUUAAAAAUGAAACCCUAAAGCAUCUCUGUUGUUCAUUUACAAACCCAACAACACAUUCACAGCAUUUAUCAGAGCAUCUUAUCGAGCAGCUGACUCAAAGCCAAAUAAUACAUUUAAUACACUAAAAUACACUAAAUCAACAAUAAAUACAACAAUACAAUCAAAUAACAGGAUAAAAAUGAGAUGUUUCUUUAAUAUGAUGUUUUAGAUGUUUAAUCUAAUUUCCAGCACAUUAUAGCAGUCAAUGUCUCAUUUUUGUCCUGGGAGAUAAAGACACAGUCGUGUAAUCACACACGUAAUCAGUGAUCUUUUUAUGGGAAGUGAGAAAAAUAAGAAGUUAUUAAAAGCUGAACACAAAACAGUUAACUGAGAACGUACAGGCAGGUGUGAAAUAACCACUGCAGUCACAAGCUUCUGUGUAACACAACAGCUAUAUAUGGUUAAAAUGACAAUAUAAGCUUCUUGACUUGACUUGAAAUGAGACAAUGUUUUUCCAGGACCAGGGAGCUACAUAGAACAACACAGAGAUAAGGACUUAGUAAGUUAGUCCUAGAUACAUAAAGUGCAUCUGUGCAAACUGGUGUACACAUUGUGAGACAAGACUAAAAGACAGUGCAGGACAAAAGACAGUGCAGGACAAAAAAUACAAGACAUUUUAGAGUUUCAUUCUUAUGUCUUUAUUGUGUUUAUACUCCUGAAUAAUCUAUUCCAGGAGACAGUCUAACUCACUGAGAAUCACAGAAUAUUUAACUUUAAACAUCAUUGUUAUCUUCCCAUCGGUUCAUAACUCCGAGCUGUAGUGAACUGUCCCUCUGAACUGCAGAAAGACAUUGGGGAACACUGUCCUCAUGUCCCAGACACUUCCUUAUUACCAGGCUUUGAUACAUGCACUACACUGUAAUAAAAAAAUGGCGGAGCGUGACCCAAUAUCAAAAACUCCAGAUCGGCCGUGAACUUAAUCCAUCAACAACUUGUGGAGGAUCUUCAUCUGCCCACAGUGCUGUAAUGCCGGCCCUCUAAAAGUCAUAGCCUUAGAUAACCAGCCCAUCAGGGACAGCUUUAUAACUCAUCAGACUGAAACAAUGGUGCUGCAAAUCAGCAGUUCUACUAUUAUUGUUCUACUGAUUGUUAUAUAAUUUAUUUCACUGAAUUAGAUUCUCUUCUUUUUUCGGUAAUCCUGACUACACUAACACCUAUUACACUGAGACAGUAACAUCUGCAUAAACUGCCUACAUUUAGCAGAAGUGACUGUACUCACAUGUACUGCCUUCUUUGCUGAUACAGUAACAUCCAAAUUGACUAGUUGCACAAUAACAAAAGACAUUUUUCUGAAACAUUAAAAACUACAGUAUGUUGUUCUGUGUUCUGUUUUACUGAUACUAAUUAAAACAGACGUGAGUGUGUCCAUAAAAUGUCAAGCAAACAUUUUCUUAGAGAAAACAUUAUUAAUGAUUACCAACUUUCUUUAAAAAUCCAUUUUUGUGGAGCUUCUGCUGUCCCUCUUUGUGUUGUUACCAUAGAAACAAUCACAUAUCAACAAUGCAUUUAUAUAAAUUUGAAAUAUAAACUGUCAGAACUGAUGUUCUGGAAAAUUAAUCAACACUUUACUCAAGCCCUGACCAAUCAGAAUUAAAAACUGAACAGUGUUGUGGUGUAUUUACACUUGCCUUGCUCAAACUCGAUGCUGAACGAGUGUCAUGAUACAGAACAACACACUUUAAUGCUUUUAUAGAUGAGCUAAAGGUGGAUUUUUGCUGUGGACCCAAAUACAGGAUAGCCAAAUAAACGGGGUUUAAUAACAAAAGACACGAAACAUGACACGGACUGGAGACAGGACAAUAGGACAAAACAACAGUAUAUUCCGUGCUGCACAAGGCAACGCGGCACAGUUAAAUAGACAAAGGUAAUGACAAUGGGACACAGGUGUGUGGAAACGGGAGGAGCAGACAAAGGAGAAGACAUUACUGAUCUUUUGACCAGAACACAACUGUCUCUUUUCAAGGUGUCAUGCGCCCCCUACAGGCUGUUUACCUACAUAUCUUUAAAGAAUCUGGGAUGAGACAAAAAAAAUGUUGGGGUGUUUGUUUUUUUAAACUAAGGGUCUCUCAUUUCCAGCCCUCAACAUUACCACAAAAUCACAUAUCUGAACAAUGCAUUUAUAUAAAUUUGAGAUUUGCAGCUAUAUCUUGUUUAUCAGACAUUCCACAGAUUUAACUGUAAUUUAAAUUCUUCAUGUGUGUGUGUGUGUGUGUGUGUGUGUGUGUGUAGUAAACAUUUCUGGGGUUAUAAAUGUAAUUCAAUAACAGAGUGACAGAGUGUAACAGGCUUUUAUUUUUUUACUCGAUAAAUAAAUGUUUGUAUCCACUUUCAUUUAGCUGUGGGGAGAAGAUUUAUGUCCAGUACUUUUAAUUAAAGCCUGAAAAUAUGAUUUCAACAAGCCUGAAACAAAUGUAUUUCUGACUUAUGAUUUCAUUCUCAUUCUCAUUUGUAAUGAUUUUUUUAACUUUAUCCAAAAGGAAAAAAAAAGCAGAUGUACAUUUGGGUUAUAGAAGUUUAUGAGCCAUAAAAUCACAAGAGGGACAUCACUUUAAAUGUAUGGAAAUGAAACAAAUCAUUCACAUAUAAUUAACAACCUCAUGCAAAUUUUAUAUAUUUAUAAUAUAUAUAUAAUAUUCUGAGCGAUAGAUGUUAUAGUUUGUAGUGUGGCUUCAGAAACCUGAAACCUGAAAUUCAAUCCUGAUCAGUUCAAGUCGGUUUCAAUUUCUCCACAUUCCUCGGGUGUGUCACAGGGGCGAAGUCACAAUAAUGCUGAAAAAACUUGUGCAGAUGUACUGUGUUCACUUCUUUAGCAAGAGAGAGAGAGAGAGAGAGAGAGAGAGAGAGAGAGAGAGAGAGAGAGAGAGAGAGAGAGAGAGAUGAGGGAGCGUUGGAUGAGGGAGCGGCUGUUUAUAGAUGCAGUGAUAUAAAUGAGGACAACGACUAAGUCACAACACGUCCAGGAUGACGUACAAUCUGUCAUUAUUUAAUAAAUAGUUCUUCGGUAGCUCUUUUUUUUUCUCACAUUUAUCAUUUACAUAAUAUAUAAUUUAUUUUAUUGAUAUAUAUUUUACUUUAUUGAUUGGUGUGAUUAUAAACUGUUAUAAACACAGGAGUGUGUUAUUAUGAAUAAUGUCCUUUCUACAGUCAGAUACAGUCUGAUAAUUGUGUAUUGAUGAGGAGGUUGUUGAUACCAUAUAAGGAGCAUGUUGUAUAAGCUGAUAUGUUACAUAAAAAUAUAAUACUAUGAUUGUAGCUACACUACUGUCAGAGCUGCUGUUCUAGAAAGUUCACCAGCACUCUUAGAUUCAUGAUAUCAGUUGUGCCGUGACAUUAAGAAAGUUAUGUCUCCUACCCGACCAGUAGAACCGCAUCAUGCUCAUCCUCCUCUCUAUAUAUUUUUAGCACUUCUUACAUUCCUCUUCCUCUAAGCCUUCUCCUCUUUAACCUUUAGUUAACUUCUGAAACCUUUUAAAAACAUAUAAAUAACAAAUUACAAAAAAUAACAAAUAUUUAUAACAAAUAUAUAGAGAAAUAUGAACCAAACCCAUCCCUCUGUGCAUCCUGCACGUCUUCAUUUACCAGAUUCAUUUUAAUCUUGCUUCACCUUCAGUUUCUCCUUCAGUUCCUUCUUCACCUUCAGCUUCUCCAGUCCAAUGACAAUGAAGUUCCUACUGACACUGGUGCUCGUCUCUGCACUUUUCUCUGGAGUGCUGUCGCUGACGUGUCUUGACUGCAUUAAUGAUCAAUGUAGUGAGAUUAACUGUCCAGACCAGUGUGCCAGUCUAACUGUGUUUGUAAUGAACAAUGGCAACAAUAUAAGCACUGUUUUAAAGACUUGUGCAGCACCGGGCAUUUGUUCACCUGAGACUGCAAACCUGGGAGAAACAAUAACAACCACCAAUGCCAUGUGCUGCAACACUACAUUAUGCAACAAUGAAACACUGCCAGGUAAAAACAAAAUGUGUUCGAAGGAUUCAUUCAUUCAUUCAUUCAUUCAUUCAUUCAUUCAUUCAUUCAAUUUCUACCGCUUAUCCAAACUUCUCGGGUCACGGGGAGCCUGUGCUUAUCUCAGGUGUCAUCGGGCAUCGAGGCAGGAUACACCCUGGCGGAGUGCCAACCCAUCACAGGGCACACACACACUCUCAUUUACUCACAGAAUCACACAAUUUGUAAUGACAAUGUAAUUUUGUUAAAGUUUGUAUUUUAGAUUUUUUUUAUAACUAUAUACAGUAUUGGGGCAAGUCAUGGCCUAAUGGUUAGAGAGUCUGACUCGUAAUCCUGAGGUUGUGGGUUCGAAUCUCGGGCCGGCCACGACUGA